rnacentral:rRNA from 1 species
ACGGGUGAGUAACACGUAUCCAACCUGCCGUCUACUCUUGGACAGCCUUCUGAAGGAAGGAUUAAUACAAGAUGGCAUCAUGAGUCCGCAUGUUCACAUGAUUAAAGGUAUUCCGGUAGACGAUGGGGAUGCGUUCCAUUAGAUAGUAGGCGGGGUAACGGCCCACCUAGUCUUCGAUGGAUAGGGGUUCUGAGAGGAAGGUCCCCCACAUUGGAACUGAGACACGGUCCAA